rnacentral:rRNA from 1 species
GACGAACGCUGGCGGCGUGCUUAACACAUGCAAGUCGAACGGAAAGGCCCUGCUUUUGUGGGGUGCUCGAGUGGCGAACGGGUGAGUAACACGUGAGUAACCUGCCCUUGACUUUGGGAUAACUUCAGGAAACUGGGGCUAAUACCGGAUAGGAGCUCCUGCUGCAUGGUGGGGGUUGGAAAGUUUCGGCGGUUGGGGAUGGACUCGCGGCUUAUCAGCUUGUUGGUGGGGUAGUGGCUUACCAAGGCUUUGACGGGUAGCCGGCCUGAGAGGGUGACCGGCCACCUUGGGACUGAGAUACCGCCCAGACUCCUACGGGAGGCAGCAGUGGGGAAUAUUGCACAAUGGGCGGAAGCCUGAUGCAGCAACGCCGCGUGCGGGAUGACGGCCUUCGGGUUGUAAACCGCUUUCGCCUGUGACGAAGCGUGAGUGACGGUAAUGGGUAAAGAAGCACCGGCUAACUACGUG